rnacentral:lncRNA from 1 species
GUGACCUCGAGGCAGCCUCAGCACGGCACUCUCUUGGGUCCUCUUCCAGGCUCACACUGGGCGACAGCGGAGAGGCUCUUGGACGGGGCAGAGCUCGCGCCGAGACCUGCAUGUCCGCGUCUUGUGACGGGUGUGUGGGAAGCCGCCCGCCUGUGCAUCUUGCUUCCGGGUAUUCGCUGGCUGAUUUACUGGUUUUAGAGAUGGGGAUGGGCACCCAGUGCUGGACUGAAGACCAGAGAAGGUGGAGCUCCCUGUGGCCUUGGUCUCACCUCUCUUCAGUCCUCCUGGCUGACAAGGAGGGUGGGCCGCCGGCAGUGGACGAGGUGUUGGAUGAGGCUGUGCCCGAGUACCGGGCGCCGGGGAGGAAGAGCCUCUUGGAGAUCCGGCAGCUGGACCCGGACGACAGGAGCCUGGCCAAGUACAAGCGGGUGCUGCUGGGGCCCCUGCCACCGGCCGUGGACCCAAGCCUGCCCAAUGUGCAGGUGACCAGGCUGACACUCCUGUCGGAACAGGCUCCGG